AUGGCAGGUAUGAAAACCUUCAGGGAAGGGGCGAUCUGGCGGGUUGGGGAUGGUGCAUCCAUUGACAUUUGGAAGGAUCAGUGGAUUCCCACAAGCCAUGAUCGGAGGGUUAUGACCCCAAGGGGGCAUUGCUUGUUACAGAAAGUACAAGAACUGGUUGAUCCAAUAUCCGGAAGCUGGGAUGAACAAUUAGUAAGGGAAAUUUUUUGGCCAGUGGAUGCUGAAAGAAUUUUGCAGAUACCACUAUCAUCUCAUGGCCAGUCUGAUUUUAUUUCAUGGCAGUUUUCUAAGUCGGGAUGUUUCACGGUCCGGUCUGCUUAUCGCAUCACUUGGAAAUCUGUGUACAGAACACGGGCUCGGAUGAAUGUUGGAGCAGGAAGAGUGGAUCCGCACCCGGUUUGGAAAGUCCCUUGGGGCAGGUCAGUGCCCCCUAAGGUAAAUGUGUUUAACUGGAGAGUGCUACAUGGGAUUGUACCAUGCUAUUGUACGCUGUCAAAUCGGCACCUAUCUACUCCGGUGAUUUGUCCAGUAUGCGGCAAUGAGCCUGAGGAUCUGCGACAUAUGUUGUUUGCGUGCGAAAGAGCCAAGGCCGUGUGGAAGGAGCUGGGGCUGGAAACAUCGAUCGCGAAUGCAGCAUCCCAUGAUCGGUCGGGGUCGGUAAUCCUGGAGACACUCCUCUGCUCUGAGCUACCAGGAGAGGUAAAACUACCAAUUGAUAAUGGUGUGGAGACAGUUAUGGUGACUGGAUGGUACUUAUGGUGGAAUCGUCGGAAGAUCAGUCACCAGGAGAAGGUUGGUAGCCCGGUUCGCUCAGCUAUGAGCAUUCGGGCAAUCGUGGCAAACUCUCUGGCUGCAAAGGCAAAGGAGCCCACAAAACAGAUUAGAUGGGUGAGACCAGCAAAAGGGGUGAUUAAACUAAACGUUGACGCGAGCUAUCAUGUGGAUGAGGGAGCGGGAGCAACUGGAGCUGUCUUACAGAUAGCUCAGGAGCGUUUAUUGCUGCUUCUUGCUCCUUUCGACAGUAUGCCAUGGAUGUUCCCUCUAUGGAAGCGAUAG
rnacentral:rRNA from 1 species